rnacentral:rRNA from 1 species
UCCUCUGUCCAAAUCCCUAUGAAUGUGCCCAAUUUUUGUCAGACCUCAGAAGCUGAACAGGGUUGAGCCUGGAUAUUACUCAAAUGGGAGACUGCCUGAGACUACCAGGUGUUAAAUGCU